rnacentral:rRNA from 1 species
UACGAAGGGGGGCUAGCGUUGCUCGGAAUCACUGGGCGUAAAGCGCACGUAGGCGGCUUUCUAAGUCAGGGGUGAAAUCCUGGAGCUCAACUCCAGAACUGCCUUUGAUACUGGAGAGCUCGAGUCCGGAAGAGGUGAGUGGAACUCCGAGUGUAGAGGUGAAAUUCGUAGAUAUUCGGCAAGAACACCAGUGGCGAAGGCGGCUCACUGGCCCGGUACUGACGCUGAGGUGCGAAAGCGUGGGGAGCAAACAGG